rnacentral:lncRNA from 1 species
GAACUGAAGGAGGAUCAUGGUGAUGUGCAAAGGCAACUGGAGGGUCAGAGACCUCCGCUUUAAGUGUGUGAGCCAGCCCUUUCUCUGGCUGCCAUUUCCUCCAGGGUCAGACUAGAUGCUUUCUGCUCUCCUGAAGCCCACAUUUCUAGGUUGCUUCCAGCCCUGAUGUGUUAGGAUCUGUGAUAUCCUUCAAGGACAGAGUCAAGCAGUUCCCUCCACUGCUCAAGAGGCUUCUGUGGCUCUCUGUUGCUUCUAACAUAAAAUACAAACCCUGGUCUUGCAUUUUAAAAAAAGCCUUUAUGACUGGAUUCCGACUCAGCCUAACGUAGGCUCCACGUUGGGAAAAGACUUCCUCUGAAUUAGAGCCGCCCACGAGUGGAAAGGGCUGCCUCAUGUGGUAAGCUCCACUUCCCCAGAGGUCUUCAAGCCAAGGCCAGAUGACCACUUGUCAGGGCUGUUACACAGGGGGCUUCUGAAGGCAUGAGAUGAAAGGGGACGGGAGUGGGGGUGUCCUUAGAGCACAGCUCAGAUUCACUGAGGAGCCCAGCAAGUCUUUAGUGCAGGACAACCUUGGGAGCUGCGUAGCCCCGAGGGGCUGUAAGGCGGAACCUUGGGUCGGCACACAGUGUUGUCCAGACACCACGUGGGCUGUGCCAGCCCAGAGCCAACCCCGUCCACGGCCAGCUCCAGAGGAUGGGAGCCACAGCUCCAGGGCUAACUGGGAAAUUUCCAGACUAGCUAACUUCCCAAGCCCAAGAGCCCUUUCCUGGGCCAGAGCCGGGGUCCCCUGGUCCCCCAGCACUCCCUUCUUCCCUCCUAGGGUACCGGGAGGCUGCCUGUGCCCCACACUGCCGCCGAGGAAUCCCCCAACGCCAAGGAAGUGACAACCCGGACCCUGAGGGAGGACAGAGAUGCAAGUAGGUACUUUUAAAGCCUUUGUAAGGAUUGUACAGUAAGGAUUUGUGUUUGGCACUAGUAGGCGGGGACUAGAGGGGAGAGGGGCUUGGUAAACCCUAAGGCCAAGACCCUCUUUAGGGUCCUUGGCCCCAUUUGGAGCGUGAGACCAGUCUCUCUUCAUUUUGUUUACCAGGCAGGCACUCACUGGUGGCUUCCCAACAAGACACAGAAUCUGCAGAUUAUUCAAAGGAAGGAUCUGGAAUUCAUUUGUGGGGUGGUUUGGAGCACAAUGGGGGCAUAGAAAGGAACUGGAUAAAGAUAGUGCUAGCAGGGAAAUAGAACCUUCCUUUAGGAAGAACACAGAAUGGGUGUGCAGCAGCCAGAACAAGGGCUGGGCUUCAUGGAAUUUGGAGAAGAACUGGUUGGGGAAACAGACGAGCCUCACACCAAAUGGCCCGGCAGCUAAUCUGGACAGUCCUGGUAACUCACUUAGUGACCAGAACUUCAGAUCCCUCCAGGUUUUGAUUCUGCUUUCCCUGAGGACUAAAAGAGAGUGAAACUUGAGCUUAAAGAAAGGACUUUCAUUUUCAUGAAUACAACACAGGGUAUGAGAGCUGGGAGGUGUGGGUGAAACUUGGAUCACAAUGUCAGAGCUGGGGGUCUUAGAGCACGGGAUGUCAGAGGUGGGGGUUUUUAGAGCACGGGAUGUCAGAGGUGGGGGGUCUCAGAGCACGGGAUGUCAGAGGUGGGGGUUUUUAGAGCACGGGAUGUCAGAGGUGGGGGGGUCUCAGAGCACAGGAUGUCAGAGGUGGGGGGGGUCUCA